rnacentral:ncRNA from 1 species
UGUCCAGGCAAUAGUGUGGUAACACAGAUGUCCUAAAGAGGAGCCAAGGAGGAUAGAAAUCUCCUGUGGACCAGAAGGGCAAAAACUCGUUUGGUUCUUGAGUUUAAGUAUGAAUACAAACUGUGAAAGCAGGGCUUCAUGAUUCUUCUGACUUCUGGGGUUUCAAGCAGGAG